UACAGAGGUGGCAAGCGUUGUUCGGAAUUACUGGGCGUAAAGCGUGCGCAGGCGGUUUUGUAAGACUGUCGUGAAAUCCCCGGGCUCAACCUGGGAAUGGCGAUGGUGACUGCAAGGCUAGAGUUUGGCAGAGGGGGGUAGAAUUCCACGUGUAGCAGUGAAAUGCGUAGAUAUGUGGAGGAACACCGAUGGCGAAGGCAGCCCCCUGGGUCAAAACUGACGCUCAUGCACGAAAGCGUGGGGAGCAAACAGG
rnacentral:rRNA from 1 species